UUCGUCUCAAACGGAUUCCGAGGUGGUCUAGUAAUUAAUCUGCGAGCUUCGCCGGGACACUGGGCAGAUGUUCGUCGCAUUCAAUAAUUAUUUAACAUUUCACAAGUAACGUUUUCGUUCAGUUGUAUUCACAUCGCGGUAGUGACAACACCAUGGCUUUGGCAUCGGAAGGAACGAACCUCGUGUUCACCUACUUCAUUCUCCUGUUACUGCUGGUCUCUCUGUGGAUGCUGUAUUCCGCUUUUUAAAAAUGGAUCUAUGCAGACAAGAUAAGCCAACUCGAAGGAGAUCAUACGAGGAUGGCGGAUUAAACGAACCAAAAAAAAAAA